GAUGAACGCUAGCGACAGGCUUAACACAUGCAAGUCGAGGGGCAGCAAGAAUUGUAGCAAUACAAUUUGUUGGCGACCGGCGCACGGGUGAGUAACGCGUAUGCAACCUACCUAUCAGAGGGGGAUAGCCCGGUGAAAGCCGGAUUAAUACCGCAUAAAACAGGGGUCCCGCAUGGGAAUAUUUGUUAAAGAUUAAUUGCUGAUAGAUGGGCAUGCGUUCCAUUAGUUAGUUGGUGUAGGUAACGGCUCACCAAGACAUCGAUGGAUAGGGGUUCUGAGAGGAAGGUCCCCCACACUGGUACUGAGACACGGACCAGACUCCUACGGGAGGUAGCAGUGAGGAAUAUUGGUCAAUGGGCGAGAGCCUGAACCAGCCAAGUCGCGUGAAGGAUGACUGCCCUAUGGGUUGUAAACUUCUUUUAUAGGGGAAUAAAAAGUGGGACGUGUCCUAUAUUGUAUGUACCCUAUGAAUAAGCAUCGGCUAACUCCGUGCCAGCCGCCGCAGUAACAC
rnacentral:rRNA from 1 species